rnacentral:misc_RNA from 1 species
CAUCACAUCAGCAGACGUGCAGGACAAGAGAAAAAGGAUACGGGGCUCGGAGCCGCUUGCCGACGGAACGAAGGCGGACGUGAUUGCGUGUGUAUGCCCGCGUGUCUUGUGAUUGUUGAAAGGCAAAGCUUCUCGCGUUUCCUCUCGGUUGCUCUUUCGUUCUCAUCGAAGGGGUCGGCAGCAGUGCGCAGCCCCCCCCCCCCCCCCCCACCGCUAGUGGAAGCAGAAAGGCAUUGCAGCCACCCGCCAUUGCCACUUCGGGCCACACGAUUGAGGCGCAAUGUCGAACAGCACGGAUGCAGCGCGUGACUUCGUCACCGUCAAGGGACACUUCAACAGCCUCUGCGACACCUACAUUGCUGAAGUUGUCAACUCCUCUCUCGCCAGCACAGAUGCCACACUCAACGCGCAGAUACGCUCGUUGGUGGCGGAGUUUGAGUUAUUCUGGCGCCACCUCUCCGCCGUUGGAGCUUUUUCACCAAACGAUGAGAUAGACGACUACUCGACCACAGCGCUGGAGAUGCUGUGGACGCCGUAUAUUCUGGCGGACCUCUUCCAGCGCGUCCAGGGCCCCAUGAAACGCGCCCAGGAUAGCCGCGCCGGGAACGAUGGUGACAGCAGCAACGGCACCGCACAGCAGCAAGCGUGCUCGGCGGACGAGCGCAUGCGGGGCGAGGACGUGCUUCGUCCCAGCGAGCAGGACAGCGGUGUGCAACAGAUGGAAACGGUCGCGCAUUCCGCGGCCAAUCUGACCUCUCGCUCCCUUCGAGAGGAGGAGCUGCGGUCUUUGUCGCGGCAAGAGGCGCUUGCCCGCUCUCACGCGUGGCUCAAGGUCUUCUUUGAGUGGAUGGAGAAUAUCGAGCUUGUCGACAAGAAGACCCUGGACACGCACGCCGUGUACCGUGCCGACCAACGGUCGCAGCGCGUUGAGCUCUCUCGCACCAUCGCAUCCCUUAGGGCGGCACUAAAGGCCGAGGAGGACAAGGUGGGCUACCUCCGCGCGAAGCGGCGCCGCAUGCGGGAGCUGAUGGCCGAGGAGGGCGAGGCGGCAGAGGAAACGGGAGGCGAGGAGGAGGAGACGCUGCGCGCGCGUGCGUUGGCGCGGCUGAAGUGGUCUAUCUACGAAGGUUGCCACCAGCUUCAAAUAUCGUCUCGUGAGCUCAGCAUGCUCGAGGCGUUAAACCCAGAGCAGCGGGCUGCCAUCUCGAAGCAGUACCAGGACACGAUGGACUCCGUGCGCCGAGGAGAGCUAUCGCUGGGGCGGCACACCUACACGAUUCUGCCGGGCGGCAUGAUGGCGGCCGGGACAGUCGAUCACCCGCGGCAGGUGCGCACCAGCGACAUUGUGCAGUCAGGCGGCGUCACAGCACCUGCAGCGACCGCGACGGCUGCCACCUCCUCCUCUCUCGCCAUCCGCGGCAGCAGAAACGCCCAGUUAUACCGUCAGCAGAUCCGGAACGAAUUGAUGAUAGACCGCAACGCACCGACCAUGACGCUGCAGGAGUUCGCCGAACUGGAGAUGGCGGAGAUUCAGCGGCAGGUGGACGAGGCCCAGGCGAAGCAGCAGCGACAGGCUGAGGAGGACGCACACCUUGGUCCGGACGGCGUGGAGGAGCGGCAGCGGCAGAAGGAUAGCGCCUGGGCUGACUGGAAAGACGAUCAUCCAGCCUACGGACUAACAAACAAGGGCAACUACUCCUGAAAACGACUGCGAAAGAGGAAGGGAGGAGGAAGUGCCUUGGGUACUACUCUGCUCCGUUUCUCGCCUUUCACUGCUUUCAUGCCAUCACCCCUUGGACGACUGGCUUGGACACAAAGGAAGGUUGCGGGCUGGGGAUUUCCACGACGGUGACUCCGACUGACUGUUGCGCCAACCCGAUCCCGUUGCUCUGGCAUCCACAAACAUACGUAUAUAUGUACUCGCUCACGAUGAUUGGGAUGCCGCGCGUCUUUCUGCGUGUCGAGUUUGGCCUGCCUUGACGGUCGGCGUCGCUAUUCGUAUUUGUGUUGCAAUGCACGACGAGUGCGCUGCCGCCUUGAUGGUGCACAUACACACAUAUAACCUCGCAUGCACUGAAGAGUAAGUGUUGUCAGGAUUCUAUGGACACAUGCAGGUCUGCGCGAGCAGCCUGAGUAGCGCUAUCUCCGCUUUAUUACGAGGCACCAUCACCUCCCGAACUGCAAAGGGACCGGGAGAGAAGGCUGAAGGAAUGUGUAGGCGCUUCGAUGGACGUAGUUUGUGCCACCAGCAACCCCCUUUCCCACUUUUUUCUCAUGCUCUGAUCAUGUGCUUCCCUCCUAUCGCUUCGUCCCAUGCCGCUCUUUUUAUCGACGCACUCAACUCCCUCCACUACACAAACACGCAUACCACGACAUAAACCACUAUCAAG